UUCAACUCCCAGAAUUCCCAGCCACCAUGGGGAAUUCUGGAAGCUGAAGUCCACACAUCUUAGGAAAUAUUGAGAAAUAUUGCUCUGAGUUACAGGCUGAUUUGAUCAUCAUCUGCUUUUUGCAGCUUAAUGCAGUGAUAUAUAUUUGAACUUAAUCAAUGUGGUUGAUAAAUCAAAGUUUGUGACUUAAUUUAUUAUGCAAGCCAGUCAGUUGGGGGUCUAAUGUAUUUAAUAAAUUGUGGUUAAGCAAACUGCUUCUCGUACUAAUCAAAUCUUCUUGUCAUGCCAUUUUUCACAAGACCUAAAAUAUUUAUACUAUAAAUCAGAGCAGGAGCUAGGCUUUCUAUUUUAUUUGAUUCUCAUUUUUUUUAAUGGUCAAUAAAUUUGUUAACACAUAGAUAAAACAGAAAGCUAUUCCAAGCAUACCUCUUAACCUCCGCUUAAGUCUUCAGAGGCAAUUUUGGAAAAUAACCAUGCUGGCUGGCUGUAGUGCAGAAGGAUGCCCCCACCAAAAGAAACCAAAACAAUAACAGAAGUAAAAAUGGGUGGCAGAAAGCAAACCUCAUCAAUUCCUCUUCUGGGAAAUGGGUAUAUUUUGACUUGCAGCCUUGCAUUUUCUCAGCCCAUACUGCAGGAACUCGAUGAAGCAAUGAGUAUAUGUUCUAUCCAAGCAGGUGCUGAAAUUUGGCCAAACAGAUGCAUUCUGGUUGGUUUGGUGCCAGAUCACUUGUCAACGUCUAUCUCAAAGAAUGAAAGCCAUUUGUAAAUUCCACCUUUCUUUUGCCUUCAUUCAGUUUCACAGAAGGAUGCCAGGAAAAACAAAUGUAUAUUAGUUAGAUUUCAAAAGGUCAAGCCAGGAACACUUUCCCCUUCCUUGUAGCUUCUGUGAUUGCUUAUGUAGACUGUUCUUUGGGCUGGAGCACAGUACGGGCGUCUCUGUAGUUAUGACUUGAUUUAGCAGAUUUCUGGAAAUUGGUAUUUGCCUUUCAUUUUCAAAUUGCUGCAGGUGACAUGGGCCUUCUUAACCACUCAAAGUAGGAAGGCAUGAUCUACAUUGAUAAAUGAUUUCCAAUUCACCCGCAAUUUAAAAACUCCCAGGGAAUCUGAAACCACAUCAUAUUCAUUGUGAUAAUGGACUUUUGGACUGAAACUCCCCUUUGUAAGAAGAUACCCAGAUAUCAAAAGCGGAACAAAUCCUGCUAAAUCUUUCCUUGAUAAUUGGAACUCCACUGUGCCAGGAACUUCCAGAGCAAUAACUGGCAAUACAUCUGGGAAACGGGAGAUGGAUGUGAAAAUCUGAUAAAUUCUAACCUGAACUCUUUUGUCAUUUAUCAACUGUAUUAAGCCCCAGAAUAGGUGGGAGGGGAAGAGUUCUACUUUGCUGAAUAUAAUGUGGGUUUGUUGGAAAUGCCUCUUUGUCGUACACUCUGAAAAAGAUUUAUUGGUGUCUUCCUUUGGCAACGAAUAAAAAUAUGCCAUUA